rnacentral:lncRNA from 1 species
UCUUAUCAAUCUCUUCUACACAGUUUCGAGAUAUCUCUGGAAGCCUAGUACUGGUUUUUUCCUAAGCUGCAAUCAAAUGGAAGAGCCCCUGGCAAAAUCUGACUACUGGAGCCAUUCCAAUGGAAAGAGACACUGGAGCUCUCUCUCUCCACCAUGUGAGGACACAGGGAGAAGGCAGCCAUCUGCAAGCCAAGAAGAGAGCUCUCAGCAAGAAUGGAAUCAGCCAGCACCUUGAUCUUGGACUUCCCAGCCUCCAGAACUGUAAUCUACAUUUCACUGUAUGAUCUAUUCUUCCAUUUAAAAGAAGAGUUUGCCAGGAAAGCCGCUGUCUCAAGAAUAUCGAGGAGCGGAUGCUUUCCAGACCUCAACUCCUCACUCCCGGCGCUUGAACCCGCCUCAAACAGGAAGACGAGACAAGAGACAACGGCGAAGGAUGCCCACCUGCCAUCCUCCUAUCUCACCCUCCCCCGCGGCCUUGCUGCAAGCAGCCUCUCAACGCCAAACUCAGGCUGGUGGGAAAGCACCCACCUGCACAAGCUACAUGCGCCCCCUCCCCUACCCAAAACCCCAAAUAAAAAUCCCUACCCAUUCCUCAUCGGGGAGCUAGCAAUUUUUGAGGCAUGAGCCCUUGCUUUGCUCCCUGUGCCUGGCAUAGUAAAAACCUUU